rnacentral:ncRNA from 1 species
AACACAAGAGGAAGUCAACAUUAACAAAGGAAAGCAUAGCUGACUUUGGCAGCCAAGUGUUCAUAGCGACGUUGCUUUUUGAUCCUUCGAUGUCGGCUCUUUCUAUCCUACUGAAGCAGAAUUCAGUAAGCGUUGGAUUGUUCUCCCACUAAUAGGGAACGUGAGCUGGGUUUAGACUGUCGUGAGACAGGUUAGUUUUACCCUACUGAUGAAAUGUUGUUGCAAUGGUAAUUGAACUUAGUACGAGAGGAACCGUUCAAUGACCCGAAGCUAUCAUCCGUUGGGUUAUGGCUGAAUGCAACGAUCUGACAGAACUCGGAAAGGUGUGUAUGCUUUUUGA